rnacentral:rRNA from 1 species
GAUGAACGCUAGCGGCAGGCUUAAUACAUGCAAGUCGAGGGACAGCACAGGUAGCAAUACUGGGUGGUAACCGGCAAACGGGUGCGGAACACGUACACCACUUUCCUUUAAGUGGGGGAUAGCCCAGUGGAAUUUGGAUUAAUACCCCGUGAUAUAGUUGAUUGGCAUCAUAUGAUUAUUAUAGCUACUGCGCUUAAUUACGGGUGUGCGGCUGAUUAGGUAGUGGGCGGGGUAACGGCCCAGCAAGUGUACGAUCAGUAGCUGAUGUGGGAGCAUGAUAAGCCAGAAGGGCACUGAGACACGGGCCCGACUCCUACGGGAGGCAGCAGUAAGGAAUAUUGGUCAAUGGACGCAAGUCUGAACCAGCCAUGCCGCGUGAAGGAUUAAGGUCCUCUGGAUUGUAAACUUCUUUUAUUUGGGACGAAAAAGGGCCUUUCUAGGUCAACUGACGGUACCAGAUGAAUAAGCACCGGCUAACUCCGUGCCAGCAGCCGCAGUAACAC